AUUGCCUCAGCAGAAGGCAAAUGCAACAGAUUUUUGCAGUCUUCAAUGUCCAGUCCUUCGAGUGAAUGGAUGCUACCCAAGAACUCUGGCAGAGCCACAAUCCCGUCAAAAUUAUGUAUCGUUAAAAAGGCCAAGUUGGAGAGAUGCUGAAUCUGCUCCGGCAAAGAUGUGACUGCUUGCCAACCACUUAAUAUAAGAGACAGCAACGAGGCAAAAGGUUGUUGGAAUUCUUUGUUCUCAUUAUCGGUAAUAGUAACUCUGCAAGGAUUAAUGGUGUAGCUGGGCCAGGGGAAAUAAUCAAGAUCAUGAGAGAAAUCACCUAGCACCAAUCCUUCUAGUUGAAUCUUCCUCGACAAAGGAUGCAAAUCCUCUGGUUGAAUAGCAGGGCACCCCAAUAAUACAAAAAACCUGAUUGAUGUACAGACUUCCAUUCCACUUGGUAGUGAGCGCAAGUUGUUGCAUCCCGCAAGGCUCAGCUCAACUAGAGAUCGUAGGGAAUGAAUAUCCGGGAUGGAAACAAGAUUGGGGCAAUCCAUUACUCUUAGAAUCUCAAGAGAUGCCAAUCCUCCCACGUCCUUUGGUAGAUGACUUAAACUAAUGCAUCCCGAAAUACAUAGUUCUUUAAUGCAUCUAAGGUUGUGCCAAACACCAUCUGGCAGGCUUACCAAUUUGGGACAGAGCUCGACUUUUAAAAUCUCCAAAGAAGGGAAUAUCUUGACUAAUGAAUGUGAUGAAUCGUGGCACAUCAAACCCGACCACUCUUUCAAAUCAGGCAUAUCCUCCAGAAUUAGUUCUUUCAGUGCUGGAAAUGAAACCACAGCAUCCCCUGCUAAGCGACUUGGAUUGCUACUACUUGCAUCAUCAACAUUUUUCCAACCGAAGAAAUCAGUGCCGAUGCAAUUUACACUUUUCAUUCCAAUUAUGUUGACAAUAUUGAGGUGAGGGAGGUGCCCAAGUGGUGGAAUUUGCUGACACUUGUUGAAGUUCCUCAGCACGAUCUUCACAAGAUUGCGAAAGACCAAAGGAUGGCUUGUGGUCAGCAUCCACGAUGGAAGGCUUCGGCCCAUAAAGUUUUCCAUUGUGAAACCUUUCAAAUUUGGGUGAGGUUCAAGACCUUUCAAGACAUCCUCAUCAGUGGAUUCGUCUCUGGUCCUAGUAUCCCAGUGAAGUUCCAAACUAUCAAGGUUUAUCUUUGUGGAUAUUUUUGCUUUGAUUGCUUCCUCUUGGUUGCUAACAUUCUGGAGAUCAAAGAUCUUGAGGUCGCCCCUGAGAUUGUGCAAAUGCCCCAACUGAUCAAUUUGACAUCCCUUAUCUUGACUUACAUAGAAGAAAGGCAACGUCUGAAGAGAGCUCAACUGUCCUAUAUCAGGAAGCAAACAUGGCUUGCCGUUGAUGAUUCCAUCUUUUUCAAUGCACAAAUGCCUCAGGUUAACCAAAUUUCCAAAAUUUUUGGGAAGCUGUUGCAGAUUACUAAGCCUCAUUGUUUGCAAAUUGUACAACUGUGUGAUGGGAUUUGGGAGUUCUGUUAUUGAAGUCCUGGAGAUGUCAAGAUAUCUUAAAAGCUUUAACUUUCCAAUCGUGGCUGGCAAUUCCUUAACUUCUUCAUCAACAAGAAAUAAGACUCGAAGGCUUUUACAAACGAUCGGCAAACCAUGUGCAAGGUUCAAAAUCAAAGUUCGCAGCUUUAAAAGACUUUCCCUACCGGUUAUAAGUUCAGCCGAGGGAAACAAGAAAAUGGACUCUUUGGCUACUUCUUGAACAAAGUCAUACACAAGAUCGUGAAUAGUGAAUUUUAUAGUUCUUCCAAACCCAUCCUUCUCGUAAACUUGCAACAAAGAAGUCCGGAACAAAAUACUCAUGUAGUUACUUCCAACAUCCUCCAUUUCCAGGUGACUUCCCUUGGAAGGAUUAAGCAAUCCCUGUGCCAUCCAAAGUUGUAUCAUGAUUUCCACUGAUAUAAAGCCACCGUUUCCCAUUAUAAUACAACAUAAAAGACAUUGUUUCAACGACAAUGAAGGCAAAUGAUCGUAGCUUAACUUUAUAGCGGAUCUGACUCUACUUCCAGCUUCUUCCAUUGCAGUCCAGGUUUCACUAUGUUCUAUUUUUGACCACUCACGUUCAUCCUUUUUGGAGUACAACAAACCUCCUAUUGCCUUUACUGCCAAUGGCACACCACCGCACUUAGCAACAAUUUUUCUUCCUAUAUUUAUCAAUUCAGGAGUCUUUAUUGCUGCACAACCUUGACCAAAUGCUAUUUUCUCAAACAAUUCCCAGCUAUCACCAUCAGAAAGUGUUCCCAAUUGACAAGGAAAAGAUGCUUGCAUGAUUGAAACAACUGUCUCGUUUCGAGUUGUCACGAUUAUCCUACUUUCGUCCGAUCCACCUAUCCCUCGCAGACACUUCCUCAUUCUAUCCCAUUUCUCUGCAUCUUCAUUCCAAACAUCAUCCAGUACAAGCAAGAAUCUUUUGGUUUUAAGUACCUCGCUAAGCUUUCCUACAAUUGCCUCUGCAACUGUCAGAUUAGGGUUGGUUCCUGUAAGAGACUCUACCAUCUUAUUUAAGAGUCUUUCAACAUUGAAAUCUUCUGACACGUGGAUCCACAAUUUGUGAUCAAAAUGCCUCAGCACCUUUUCAUUUUUGUAGACUAGCUGAGCAGUAGUUGUCUUGCCCAAACCAGCCAUCCCAACUACACCAAUAACUGAUAAGUUAUUACCAUCCUUCUCUGAAGAAGUUAACAAGUUUACAACCUUGUUCAAUUCCUCACUCCUUCCCACAAUACUGGAAUCAUCAACAAAAGGAUCAAUAGUACUAGAUCGAUCACUUCUGGGAUCGUUAGACAUGUUAACUAACUCAACAGGCCUAAGUCCAAUCCUUUCCGCUUCCUGAUAAACUUUCUUUAUACUCAAGUUCAUGUUCUUAAUCUUGUGAGCAAAUUUGAAACGGAAUGCGAGCGGAUAUGAACCAGAAAAGAAGCUACGAACCUGGUCUUGCAUGCGCUUCUUCAACUUUUUGCGAAGAACUUCAUAUGCAAACUCGUCCAGCAAGUACUCAGCCUCGGACGACACAUCCUGGAGCCUUCCAAGCCAAAGAUCAACGGCGUUGCUUCUGUUAUUUUUGCAUUCAGCAUCAAGAAGCAAAGCUUGAAUCAUCUCCAGAUCUCGAGCUAAACUUUCAAGAUCUUCCUUGACACCCCACACUAUGUCGAUCUCUUCAGCCACAAGUGAAAUUAACUUACUCCGAACUCCCUCUAUAACAAUAUUAAGCAAAACAUCAGCCAUCUCACUUUUGUAUUCCUACGAGAGGAAGAAUUGCUCGCUAAUCUGUGUGAUAUUAGCAAAGAACAAAGAAGUCAACGGCCCUUUGAGGAGGGGGACUGAAAGAAGUAAAUGAAAUGGCGACAGAGUGUCGUUGAACCAUGUGAAAAAUAGUGAAGUAAAGAAGGGGAAGAGAUAAACUCAAAGAAACCUUAUCCAUCGGCUGACGUGUUGCCAAACUAACGUCCACGAAAUUAUUGUCCCUUGUAAUUGUCGGUGGUCCCUUGUAAUUGUCACACUAUGAGGUAUGAAAAGGUUAUCUUUUUUUUUUUUUUUGGGGAUAAUUGCAGAAACCUCUCUUGAGAUUUCUGAUAUUUGCACUGACCUCCCCUCUAGGUUUAGAAAUUGCAUUCACCUCCCAUAAACAGUAAUAAUUCGUUGCAGAAACCUCCUUGACAGCUUUUGUAGAGGUGAGAUAAGAAUUUUCUUCCAAUUUUGCCCUUACUUGCUUGACAAUUAUUAUUUGCUUGACAAUUGCUUAACUAAUUAUCUAAUUAGUUAAUAGUUAAACUAAUUAACUAUUAACUAAUUAUUUAAUUAACUAAUUAACUAAUUAUCUAAUUAACCAAUUAACUAAAGCUGUUGUCUGUCCGAAACUAACAAACUAUUUGCAUGUUAAACUAAUUAACUGCUUAACUAAUUAACUAAUUAACUAACUAACAAAUUAACAAACUAUUUGCAUGUUAAACUAUAUGCAGUAUGCAUUACCUAUUUAAAGAAUCAGCUCUUUAUAAGCAUUUUACUUUCAAACAUUUAAUUUAUGAUAAAAACAUCAAUAUUUGUAUGUAAAAUUCAAAAAGUGAUACAGUAAUAUUGCUGUCCUGGUUGUAAUAUAGCAAGAAAGUUUAGCAUAAGGCUUAAGUUCUUCCCAAAAUGUUAUUUCUACUUAUGUUUGAGGUAGAAAUAUUGUGGGAGGUCCUUGUGGUUCAAUAUGUUCGCAUGAAUUUUCGCUUAUCUGGUCAAAUUUUAUAUUAUGGUAUGUUGUAAGGUUUUACUUAAUCAGUCUACAAACUUAUGUUAAUAGAAAAUUUGAAAUGACUGAUUAUAUGCAAAUAGUUUCAAGUAGCACUGUUCAAGUCCCUAACUAAUCAUGCUAUAAGUACAUCAAAGUGAAUAUCGAAUCCAAAGUUCUAAAGUAGAAUCUUUCGUAAAAGUACUUAUUAAGCGCUUAACAGUAUUAUUUGACUUCAAACUUGCAAAAUUGCCUUUUAUACUUAAUAAUGUGAAAAUUUUGAUUUCUGAAUUGUGUUUAACUUCACAUAGAGCUCAUAUUUUGUGAUAAAACAAAUUAAAUUUUUUUUUUGAGUUUUUGCAAUAUAAAUGUUACCCUACAAGUGUUAAUUUUGAAACAGCGCUAAAGCCUGAUGCUGCGCAUCAAGUUGCCCUGAUUAAUUGUAGUAUUUGUGCUGAUGCAUUGUGCAAUUGGCGAUAAUGCAAUCACACACAUGCUCCUAAAGGAGAAGAAGAAAGUGGGCCGCUAAGGCAACAAAGGGAGAAAAAGUACACAAGAAAGCGGGUACCUUCUCCUUUUUAGGCAAAGGUAACUAAUUUCGAUACAAAAAUGUACAAAAAUAUAAUGGGAUAAGAGGACCACUCACAAAGAAGCUGAGGCGUAAUUACCAAUAACCAAGUUGCAACGAAGCGGUCAACUAUUUUCAGUUCUUUUCUUUGUUGAAGAGCCAAGACUUAAAUAGACAUAAUUUUUAAAGAUUUGAUGGUUCAAAUUGUGUCACAUCGUUUUGAAAAUCGAGUCUAUCGAGUCUAUUGAAAAUCGAGAAUGAUUGAAGAAUGAUCUCAAUAGAUAAACUCAAAGAAACCUUAUCCAACGGCUGAAAUGUUGCCAAAAUAUCAUUAGGACUUUUUAGUAAUUAUUAUUGCACAGGUUCGGCACCUGUCAAUUGAACUGAAUCUUUGAAUGACUUCUAUGCACUUAGGUUAGGAUUUUAUUUUUUUCUUCUUUUUAAGGCAACUUAAAUAGGAUUUAAUCUAAGCUUUAACCCAAAGAACCUCUCUCCGGCUGCAUUAGGUACAUUAGGCAGCUUAGAAAAACUAAGAGUAGAACAUUAUAUGAACUAUAAACCUAACAUUGGAUAAAAAAAAAAAGAGUAAACCUAACAUUGGAAAAGGAAAGAAUUAAUUGGAAGAGGGGAAGAAGGGGGGGGACUUUGUGGCUUUUUUUUUUUGAAAAAAAUUUUGACCAAAAUCUAGAUAUUUGUCAUGUAUUUAGUGGGGAAAAAAGAAACCAAUGAUGCUAGGUGUUUGGAGGUAUUCAAGAAAAAUUUUUGCCAAAUUUAUUUCCUUGUUAAUUUGUCAAUCAAUAAUUUGGUUCUUUUUUUUGGCAAAAAAAAUGAAUCAUAAACACUUUUUUUUAAUCAUCUUUCUGUUAGGUUUUUUUUUUUUUUUUAUUUCACAUACAUUACAUCACAAAGAACAUUAUAGUUUUUCUGAUUUUUUUCACAAAUAAUCUUCUAUACAAACAAACCCAAAUCUUUUUAUUCUUCUUAUUGCUCCUCAUUUUUUUUGGUGUCUUCAAAACGUUUGUGAUGAUUUGAAAGAUAAGUACAAAGAAAUAAAAUUAGCAAAAUGAACCAUAUAUCUUACAUUGCAUGCUUCUUUUAGAUACAAUGAUCUAAGAAAUCACAUCAAAAAUCCGUAAGUUCAGAUCAAACCAGACAUUUGAAGUGCUUAAGGUAUUUAACUCAAAAUUAAUUGCGCAACACAUGUUUAUUUUCUAGAAAUUGCACUUAAGGAUCAAUUGCAUUUGCUCAGCCUCUAAAGAGUCUUUUUUGUAUUUGAUUAAUUAUGAAGAUGAUUUUAGAAUAAUUAUGUUCUCCAGUUUUCAAAUGAGCAAAUUGCUAUAUUUGUUAGAUUAAAAGAAAGCCCAAAUAGAGCUAACGACCACUAGAAACCCUCUGGAGUUGAAGUUUUAAGGGAAUUUCGCCAAUUUGGUCCCUAAACAUUUUCACUUAAACCAAUUUCGUCCUUAAUGAAAUAUUUUAACCAAUUUAGUCCUUGAACUAGUUUUUUGCUUCCAACGUAGGACUUUUGACAACAUUUUACUCACUUCGCGUGGACCAACAGGGGUAUAAUUGUCACACUUACUUAAUCUGCUGCAAUUAUUCGAAAGACAUUCUCCGCCAAUGCGAUUAACCUUGAAAAACAGAACAAAAUUGGGCGAAAUUGGGAUUAGAACUAGGGCUGAGGUGAACGGAUGAUGGAGGCCAGAAUUGAACACGGAAUGCGACCAUCAGAGGCAAUGGACAAUGGCGAUUCUGACAAGGAUGGCAACGAUCAAGUGGAGUCAUCAACAAGAUCAAGUAAGUCUGCACUUCAAACAUAAACCUCAUCAACCGUAUGCAUGAGGGGCUUGAGUUGACUGCCAUUAGUGUGUUGGAAUGGUGAUAAAAGCAUUGAUAAUGGAAGGGGUUGAGGGAGGGAGGGUUUAAUUUGGCAGCAUUGUAUAGCAGGGAUGGGGCAUGAACAGGUUAGGGGAUGUUGAAAUUUUUGUUAAAGUACUUAUAGAUUCCACAUGGAAAAGAUCGCCACCCUUCUGACCCCUCUGACGCCGCCACCCUCCGCAGUGCUUCAAUCGUUUGGUUCCGCAACGACCUUCGGGUACACGACAAUGAGUGCCUCAACUCUGCCAACAACGAGUCCAUGUCAGUCUUGCCCGUCUACUGUUUCGACCCGAGGGACUACGGGAAAUCCUCUUCUGGGUUCGAUAAGACUGGCCCGUUUAGGGCCACUUUCUUGCUUGAAUCCGUCGCCGACUUGAGAAAAACUCUGCAGGCUAAGGGGUCUGAUCUUGUGGUGAGAAUUGGGAAGCCAGAGAUUGUACUGGUGGAGCUGGCGCAGGCCGUUGGGGCGGAAGCUGUGUAUGCCCACAGGGAGGUAUCGCAUGACGAGGUGAAGGCAGAGGAUAAUAUCGAGGCGGUGUUGAAAGAGGAAGGAGUGGAGGUUAAGUACUUUUGGGGAAGCACAUUGUAUCAUAUUGACGAUUUGCCCUUUAAAUUGACGGAAAUGCCGACUAACUACGGCGGGUUUAAGGAGAAAGUGCAGGGACUGGAGGUUAGGAAGACAAUAGAGGCCCUGGAUCAGGUGAAAGGAUUGCCUGCUAAGGGAGAUGGGGAGCCUGGGGAGAUUCCGUCCUUGGUUGAUUUGGGUCUCAAGAGUUUAGACAGUCUAUGCUUCUUUCUAAUGUCUAUUUGAACGGGGGCUUAUUCUUGACUGUGCUUGGAUUUUGGGAAUAGAGUGGGGCUGCGGAGCAAAUUUAUUUACUUGGAUCCAUGGUGUAAAUCAAACCUCAAUAAUGAUGAACUCCGAACUUGUCUAAAACUGGCUAUUGAGCAUUUAGUAAUACGGAAUUGUUUCUGUAUAAAAAAAAAAAAAAAGAAAAAUUUGUACGGGUUGGGGAUACUGGGGGCAGAUGGAAUGCAUGUUGUUUUACUCAUUUUUUUAUUGCAAACUUACCUCCUGGCAGAAUGGAAAGCCAGCAGCAAGUGCCUCUCUUGUCGGAGGGGAGACAGAAGCGUUGCAGAGGCUUGGAAGAUUUGCAACUGAAUCGCAUUGGCGGGAAUGUCUUUCGAAUAAUUGCAGCAGAUUAAGCAAGUGUGACAAUUAUACCCCUGUUGGUCCACGCGAAGUGAGUAAAAUGUUGUCAAAAGUCCUACAUUGGAAGUAAAAAACUAGUUCAAGGACUAAAUUGGUUAAAAUAUUUUAUUAAGGACGAAAUUGGUUUAAGUGAAAAUGUUUAGGGAUCAAAUUGGCGAAAUUCCCAAGUUUUAACUACAACUCUUAAAAUGGUUUUCCAAGAUUUGUUUUAUUAAUCAGAAAGAAUAUAGAGAAGCAACCUGUUAUAUAUGUACCUGAAAAUUUCAAACAAUGAAAGUGAAGAAAUUUGGCCAUCUUUUACCAACAACGGCACCCUUUGAACACUGCAGCUAGUUUGAGCAAUUGAGCUCUCUUAAAUACAGUUGCUAGUAAAACGGGAGAUGGAUCGAUCCUCAAGCAAUGAAGACUACUAUAUGUUACUAUUUUUGUCCUAUGGCUGUCAAAAUUGUUUAUUUUCUCCAGUUUAUUUCACAUAAAGGUGCAAAAUUGGAGGUGUUUCAUGCAUCUCUUUUAAAGCGUGAAGCUAAAAACUUCUCGAACGAUCACGCUUUCAAACCUUUUUGCGUCUCCUACUGAUAAAGGCGUGCUCUGGUACCUGUACACUAACGAAAGUCCUCUUGCCUCCACUUUAAAGAUGUGACACACCUGGAAUACAUCAAUACCAUGCCUUUUCUUAAUAAGAUUUUGACACAAAAAUUAGUAGGCAACACUUUUUUAUUAUCAAGAAAAUUACACUUCAAAACAUUUCAAUGAGCCAAACUAAGCCCCAUAGAUCCCCACAUACUUGAAUGGUUCAGAUUUCCUGGGGGGUUUUCUGGUAUCCCACUUUCAGCUCCCAAUUUAUCUCCAAGAUUGCCUAGCAGGCACACAUUUAGCACCAAACUUCCAAGUCAUUAUCUAGCUAUAAAAAUGUGUUGGGCAAAAAAUAUGUCAUCUUGGUUAACAGCAGCUUAAUUAUCAGUACAUAUUGUGCCAGAAUAGAUCACAUUAAACUCACUGAAUCAAAUAAUGAAUGGACCAGCAUUUGACUUUUGAGAUAGUUGGCAUUGCAAUUUCUUGGCUGUGCAAUAGUCAUCCACCUUUGUCUUGUUGAAGGGGAAUUGUACUAGCAACUUAGUUUUGUUAAUGUAACCAUCCUUUUCUCCAAUGCUGCAAAACUGUGUUUAGGUGUUACAAGGGAUAAGUCUGAUGAAGCACAUGAGCAUUUAGCAAAUCAAAGGUAGAUGUAAUUAGACAACUGAAAUGAUGUUAUUUUGAACAACAAAAUCAUCAAAGAUUCUUGUCCAUUAUUAGAGAAGACCAAGGAAAGUAAAGUUGACAGAGACUAGAAUAGGUUUCACAUUAUUCACGGGCAACCACCACAACCUGCUUCCCAAUGUUGCGACCUGAGAAGAGUCCUAUCAGGGCACUUGGGGCAUUCUCAAGGCCUUCAGCUAUGUCUUCCACAUAUGCUAUCUUCCCUUCUUUUAUCUGGGGUAGAACCAUAUCCAGAAAUUUCGGAUAGAGAUGAUAGUAAUCGAACACCAAAAAUCCUUCCAUUUUAAUUCGCUUAGUGAUCAGGCAGAAGAGAUUGUGAAUGCCUUCAUGCUGCUCAAGGUUAUAUUGUGAGAUCAAUCCGCAAACAGCAAUGCGACCGUGGACUCUCAUGUUGAGAAGCACGGCAUCAAGCAUCUUUCCUCCGACAUUCUCAAAGUAAAUGUCAAUGCCAUCUGGAAAGUACCUAAGCGAAAAAAGAUAGAAAGUCAGGAAUGCUGAUUUACUUUGAGCAGUCCAAAGUAAGAAACUGCCAGUGACAGAAUCAUCCUCCUCUAAUGCGCCAACAUGACAUGCAAGAACAGAAUGAAUGCUGGCAAAUUAAGAUCUGCAUUGAAUAUUGACAACUUGGAGAAGUGUGUUUCGUGCUUGAGGUACACAUGUACCAGGUGACACAUAUAUACAGUUCAUUUAAGUGAAUGCCCUGCCACUCAGAACAAACUGCCCUGGGGAGUCAGAAAGUAGAUUUUAAAAUCUAAACUUUUCAGCCAGUAUAGUAGGACUGACCUUUUUAAAGCCGCAUUUAGAUCUUGCUCGUCUUUGUAGUUGAAAGCUUCAUCAAAACCAAACUUGUUCUUCAACAAGUCAACCUUUAAAGAAACAAGAUAAAGCAGGAUGAGAGAAGAAACAAUAGGCAUACAGUGAUAUCAUGUGGGUAGCUUUAAGUACCGUCAGUGUUUGUUCUAACAAACAAAUAUGAAGUAAAAGUUCCUCUUGCAAACAUUAUUCAGGCUAAUCGUGCAAGAUGCCUGGAGUAAGAAGGGUGAAUUUAUUAAUUUUUCCUUUCUUGCUUUUGGUACAACAGAUCAUUAGAUGCUCAAUAGAUGCUAUGAUAUAUGCUGCUUCAUGAAGCAUAGGUACAACUACCACUGGAAUCAGAUAACAGAAGAUCCAAGCAAUCAGUUCAGAGUAGCUUUCACCAAGACUGGCCCAUUAUGACCGUCAACAUUCUUUAUAGAAUUAAAAGGUUGCAAUUUGUACGCAAAGAAAGUCUAUGGUAGAAAAGAAAAAGGACUUGACAUUCAGUUUAUCUAGAAGAUACCCACACAAUCUUAUAUGAAUCCAUUUCAACAGAAACAUGAAUAAAGUUCUCACUGAAACUGAUACAAGGUUUCCAGUGAUCUAAAUGGCAGCAAACGAAGUGCGGGCUUGCUUUCUUGAACCCAAAAAAGAGGAAAAUUGAACAUGCAGAUGUCUUAAGAGAUUACCUUUUCUUUGGUUCCAGCACUUCCAACGACAUAACAACCAAAAGCCUUUGCAAAUUGUCCAACAAGCUGACCAACAGCUCCAGAAGCCGCUGAAAUGAAUACACGCUCUCCCUUCUUUGGAGAACAAAUCUCAACAAAGCCAGCAUAAGCAGUCAUGCCAGGCAUACCUGUUAGCAAAGCAGAACAAUUGAAAGGGGGGGGGUCUUAAAAUAUUAGGAGCCAUGAUGGCAAACUGGCAAGGAUAUGACACUGGAAGCAUCAUAGUAAAAGGUUCUGCAGCCACAUUCAGUUGCUUGAGGUAAAUAAAACAUGUUUCUCCGUCCCAUCCUUGAAGAAUGUCCCAGAAAUUCCAAAUAAGGUAACGUUAGAAACACCAGUAAUGGUAAAACAUAGAAGAUCAGCUCCAGAAAAAUUAGCAUCAGGUGGUGGCAAGAGAUGCAAGCAUAUGGCAUUGUAGUAGGAUCUAAAUCAGAUGAAGAGGUUCAAAGGAAGAAGUCAAACUAUUCAUAAAUAAAAGACUCAAGCAAUUAACUCAUGGACUAAUUCCUCAUCACUCUCUGAUGGCAGUUCGCUUAAUAGCAGAUCUUACAUCAUGUAAAGCUCACUAUACAUAAAGGAGGUAUAUCCCAUUCCUACCAUAGCAAACAACUGUAAAGUGCUUCAAUCAGACUGCCAAAGCUUACUAAAGUUCCACACAAAGCCUUUAAAGAUAACGAACAUCAAAUGCUGGAAAUCUCCAAGAAGAAAAGGAAGUAACUUCUAUACUGGUGUACUGUAAUGGAAACCUAAUCAGACAGAGGCACUGACCGAGGAUUCCUGUAUAGUAGGACAGAGGCAUAUCAGUGUUGUGAAUUUUAAAGCGAGUCUCUGGAUCAGCAAUUACACUGUAUUCUUCCCAGCGAGUCAAUCCCCACAGCAGAUCACCCUUGUUGAAUUUUGGAUUGUUUGACUCCAAAACUCUAGCCACUCCAAGACCCACUAUGGGCUACAAAGUGAAUCAGUAUCAAGUUAUGAAUUUGACUUGAGUCUACUCAUGAAAAGUAAAACUUCUGCCCCUUCAACUGCACCAUAAACAACUACAUGUAUUACACCUAUUAAGUUAUAUCCAAAGUCAUGGGAGUUAUCUCAAAUAGACAACCAUUUAAGGGACUGCAAUAAGUAACAAUGAACAGCCAAAAAACCAACUUCAAUUUAUUUGUUCUCCAGCCAAAUAGUAAGCAAAGCCAUUGUGGAAAACAUAGAAAAAUGUUUCCAAAUUUGAAUUCUUUGACAUGUGUACUGAAGAAAAUAAGCAUAAUCAGGCAACCAGUGAAUGUUCUUUGUGAAAUCACUACACAUUGUCAACAUUACUCUUUGGAGUUAUAAUGCUUUCUACUGUCAUGUAGAGUUAUAAAUCCGACUAAUAAGUGCAUCCUUCUCUUAAAUUAAUACUCUGGAGAUUCCCAAAUAGUUAACUUACUCCAACACUGAACAAACUGUUCUUUGAAUACUUUUGCUCCAUCAUUUUCCAUGUGAUGCAGAAAACGAUAAAGUCCCACAUGCUCUUGACCACCAGAUUUAUUUUAUCAAAAAAAAAAAAGAAAAGAAAAAAGAAUGAAAUUCCGGAACAUCUUGGUUUCAAUCUACUUUUGAGUUUCAUUUCUUCACAGAAAGAUGAAUCAAGGUCAACUGCUAACCAGGUCAAACAUAAUUACAUACUCUAGAUAUACACAUGCAAGUCAGAAUUCUCAUAUAUAUGAUCUUAUUUAACUGUACAAAAAUAAAAACUUUUGACUGUUUCAUGACUUCAGAGUCAAGUGAAUACUUCAAAAUCAACCAUAAAAGCGAGCAAGCCGCAGAUGUUCAGAUUAACACCAAUUAAGCAACAUAACAUAAAAUUCACAAAUGAAAAAUUCGAAUUUCCACUCAUGCAGACUAACUCUACAUAAAAAUUCUACAUAACGCCUAAAAAAAAAAAAAAAAAAAAAAGGUCUGGAAAUCCAAUUGUCACUCUAUCUUUAGCACUACAAUUGCAUGUACUGAUUAAACACCCAUUAACCACUCCAGUUUAAAGCAAUAAAAAAAAAAAGAACAAAAGAAAAGAAGAGAGAAACACAAAACGUACAAACAUUCACAGAAAGUGACUUACAGAGCCAGGAGUGUAGGCCUCAGCAUAAUGACCUUCAAGCUUGCGCAUGCGGGAUCUCAUAUAUAAGGAUCACAAGGCAAAUACAGAUUCUUCACCAAGAUUGCCCCUGAAUAAUCGCCGCCAUCUGGAAGCUUCAACUUCAAAGCAGUCGUUUUCACCUCCAUAUCACUCUCUUUUGGGAAGCCACUCACAUAAUUCUUCAGUAUAACUUGCUUAUUGCUCACUUCUUCCUCUGCCAUUUUCUGAAAUUCUCUCCCCAAGAAGAGAACAACCCUUUUCUUCUCUGAGCUAAAUAUUGGUGGGUUUUUUUUAUCUCUUUGGAAAUGGAGACUGAAAUGUGCAAUGGGUCGGAGUUAAAAGCGGAUUCUUGCUUUUGUUUUGUUGUUUAACUUAUAGGUUUGAUUAUUUGGCAUUUUGUUUGUUUUAUCAUAAAUGAUAAAGCCAGCAUUGAUAUCUUGUACUUUAGCUAAAAUUACGCUUCCCUAUGAAACUUUGGUAGGUCAGGUAAAAUUGGAUUAUUGGCCAGCUGAUUUUGCAAUAUGAGGCAGAGGUGCAAAAGAGAUGAAUUACCAAAUAGGAGUGGAAAGAAGAAGUUUUGCAUGACUUUCUGAAGCUUGGAUUGUGGGAUAUUUUGUUGGGUAAAAAGCAAAGAAUUGGUAAAUAUUGUGACUAGAAUUGGCUUCAAAUCGUGAUAGAAAUCACUUUUCUUUAGGCUUUAUUUGUCCGAUAUAAAGUGCAAUAACCUUGGACAAAUAUCCUUUAGGAUAAGAUGAAGUUUUGUUUGUCUUAAACUCUUGCACAAAGCAAGACAAACCCUUUGUGAACUAAGGAGUGCUUUUGAGAGAGUAAGGAUAGUAGGAAAGUGAUUUUCUGCAGCAAAUCACUCUCUACUUGACCUCUUUAUAUAGGAAGAUUUGUUUGGGAAACAAAAGACCUCAUUAAACACUUGUAUGAAUAGAUUCAAAGUAUUGUGUAUGAAUAGAUUCAAAGUAUUGUGUACACAUUCAUGCACUUUAAUUCAUGCAUCUCAUGAUCAUUAGAUCAAAACAUGAAUCUAUCCUUUCAUUCAAUAAUUCACAUAUACAUGAAUACAUUCAUAAAUGAAUGUACAUUUUAGAAUCAUUCACAAUACUAUACAUGUACCAAAAAUUAAUGAAUAUACAUUAAUUACAUGUAUGUACAUCAUACAAAUUUUGAAAAGUUUCCAACAAUCCCCCGCCAUUUUCAAAAUUAGAAAAUGGAUUUCUAAAAGGUCACCAAGUAAUCUGACACUCAUAUGCAUAAAUAAUGGUGUCUUUCGAUUGAACCACUAUCUUAGUGAAGGUUCUUUGAAAUCAAUCCUUCAAGAUGGUAGACAAGCUUUGAACCACUUGGACAUUGGACCAACCUCAUAAACACAUCACACACUGAGCAACGCACAACCAUAAGUUCUUCAAUGAUACAUUUUACGGCCUUGUAUCACUAUCCUUUCAUGAAUGUUUACAAAGUAAAGUCCUUAACUUUGUGGUUUGCCGAAAACCAACAUUCAUAUAGGCGACAUCUUAGUGCCCCCACCAUAGAUAGCACUUUUAAGAUUCGUUAAGAGUCCAAUGACUCAUCCUUACAUUUGCACUGGCGAGAAUAACAUGCACUAUUCAACAUUGGGAUGUCUAAACUUCACAUAGUGCACCAACCACUAGAAUGGUGUACUUUCACUCAUUGAAUUCAAGACUAGACGUUGUAUCUAGCGUUGAAUUGAGGUUCCACCAUUAGUGAUCAAGAAUUUUGGACUUUAAACCCAUCCCCCUUGAUGUAUUUGACACCAAAUUUCUUGAUAACCCUUUUGUCAAAGGAUCACUCAAAUUUUCAUUUGAUCUCACAAAGUCAAUUGAUAUGACUCCAUUUGUAAUCAAAUCUUUGACAUAACUAUGUCUCAAACCGAUAUGUCUUGAUUUACCAUUAUACACUUGACUAUAAGCUUUAGCAAGUGUAGCUGCACUAUCACAAUGAAUUGAGAUAGGCGACAAAGGUGUUGGCCACAAUGGUAUAUCACAAAGUAAAUUACGUAGCCAUUCAGCUUCUUUACAGGCCGAAGCAAGUGCUACAAACUCUGCUGCCAUUGUUGAAUCGGUGAUACAAGUCUGUUUCUUAGAACCCCAAGAAAUUGCACCUCCACCAAGCAUAAAGAUCCAACCACUUGUCGACGAGUGAUCAUCUUUAUUGGUGAUCCAACUAGCAUCUGAAAAUCCUUCUAGAACUGAAGGAUAACCGGUAUAACAUAUACCAUAGUCCUUAGUGGCUUUUAAAUACUUUAAAAUUCUGGUUACACCUUGCCAAUGUAACCUACUAGGGUUGCUUGUAUAUCUGCUCAAUAUACCAACUGCAUAUGCAAUAUCAGGUCUAGUACAAGUCAUUGCAUACAUUAAACACCCUAUAAUCUUGGCAUAUUCCAUUUGAGAUUUUGGAUCCCCCUCAUUUUUCACAAAAUUUAUUUUGGGAUCCAAUGGUGUUGAGGCUGGAAUACAAUCACUUUGAUUGAAUUUGUUAAGAAUCUUUUCAAUAUAAUGUGUUUGAGACAACAUUAUAUUGUUAUCAUGUUUGAAGAUUCUCAUACCAAGAAUGACAUCUGCCUCACCCAUGUCUUUCAUGUCAAAUUUGCUUGAAAGCAAAGUUUUUGUGACUUCAACUUGUUCCAAGUCAGUCCCAAAAAUCAACAUGUCAUCAACAUAUAAACAAAUUAUGACACCUUUGCCAUCAUCAAACUUGCUAUAAAUACAUUUAUCAGAUUCAUUUAUUUUGAACCCACUAGCAAGAAUAACUUGGUCAAAUUUCUGAUGCCAUUGUUUCGGUGCUUGUUUUAGUCCAUAUAAAGACUUGACAAGUUUACACACCUUAUGCUGUUGACCAGGUAUCACAAACCCUUCGGGUUGCUCCAUAUAUACUUCUUCAUCCAAAUCACCAUUCAAGAAUGCUGUUUUAACAUCCAUUUGGUGAAUGACUAGAUUUUGGAUAGAAGCUAUAGCAAGUAGCACUCUAAUUGUAGCAAUUCUAGCUACUGGUGAAUAUGUGUCAAAAUAGUCCACACCAUACUUUUGUGUGAACCCUUUGGCAACCAACCUGGCCUUGAACUUAUCAAUAGUUCCGUCGAUCUUCAUUUUCUUCUUGAAGAUCCACUUACAACCAAUUGGUUUUGAACCAGGUGGUAAGUCUACUAAUUUCCAGGUUUUAUUACCCAUGAUUGAGUCCAUCUCAUCAUUAAUAGCUUCCUUCCAAAAGGGAGCAUCUUGUGAGUUCAUUGCUUCUUCAUAGGUCUUGGGAUCAGCCCCAAUAUUGAAGCAAUAUGAGAUUUGGUUGCUCACUGUAUCUCUAGUUCCUUCAACUAGAUACAUAUAAAAGUCCGAACCGAAGUCUUUUGACUUUCUAGCUCUUUUGCUCCUUCUCAAUUCAAUGGUUUCAUAUACACCAUCUUUUGUCAAUUCACUUGAUUUUGGAAUAACAUCUUUUAUAGAGGUGAACCUAUUCUCUUCAAAAAUAGCAUCUCUAGACUCAAUUAUGGUAUUAACCGAAAUUGAAUCAUUAGGUUCAAUUACCAUGAAUCUAUAUGCUUUGCUAUUUUGUGCAUAUCCUAAGAAUAUACACUCCACACCUCUUUCUCCCAAUUUCCUUUUUUGAGAUUCUGGGAGUUUUACAACAGCUCUACAACCCCAAACUUUCAAAUAGUUUAGGUUGGGCUUCCUUUUAUUCCAAAAUUCAUAAGGGGUUAUAGAACUCCUUUUAUUAGGAACUCUAUUUAGGAUAUGACAAGCCGUUAACAAGGCUUCACCCCAAAAUCCUUGACUUAAACCAGAUUUUGACAAAAGUGCAUUAACCAUUUCUGUCAAUACACGAUUUUUCCUUUCGGCUACACCAUUUUGUUGUGGUGUGUAAGGAGCAGUCACCUCAUGUUUUAUCCCAACAGACUCAAAAUAGGUAAUAUCAUAAUAUUCCCCACCUCUAUCUGUCCUUAGACAUUUGAUAAAGGAUUCACAAUGAAGUUCAACUUCUGAUUUGUAUGCCUUAAAUUUUUGCAAAGCUUCACCUUUUGAGUGUAACAAGAAAACAUGACAGUAUCUACUAUAAUCAUCAAUAAAAGUCACAAAGUACUUUUUACCACCCAAAGUAGGAGUUCCAUGCAAAUCACAUACAUCACUAUGAAUGAGAUCCAAGAUUUUAGAUGAUCUUUCAACUUUAGGAAACGAAUUUCUUGUGAUUUUCGUUAGCAUGCAUGUAUUGCAUUUUCCUUCAAUCUUAUCACAAUAUGGCAGCAAAUCAAGUCUCAUCAUUUCAUGCAUUCUUUUGUAAUUAACAUGACCAAUCCUAUUAUGCCACAAUUCAAAAGAAGACUCAACCAAGUACGCAGAAAUAAUAUCACUCUUAUUAUUUCUAAUAGCAAGUACAUUCAACUUAAACAUCCCAUUGCAAAGAUAACCCUUGCCUACAAACAUACCACCUUUAGACAAAAUAAAUUUGUCAGACUCAAACACAAGUCUAAAGCCAAAUUUAUUUAACAGCCCAGCUGACACCAAGUUCUUCCUAACUUCCGGUACAUAAAACACAUUUGUCAAGGUUACAACAUUUCCGGAAGUAAAUUUUAAUUCUACUUCUCCAAUGCCUUGAACCGGAAUUGUAGCAGAAUUUCCCAUGUAAACAACGGUGCUUUCAUCCACCGGUUUCAUGGACUUGAAGAACGUUCUAUUGUUGCACACGUGUCGCGUAGCUCCAGAAUCAACCCACCAAGCAAAAUCAUCUUCAAUCAUAUUGAUUUCAGAUAUCAUUGCUACAAGAUUUUUGCUUGUGUUUUGGGAAGACUCUUGCUUCUUCUUCUUGUUUUGAAGAAUCUUGCACUCGGACUUGUAGUGUCCCUCUUUCUUGCAAUAGAAGCACUGUCCCUUCUUUCUUUUCUUGGAUUGAUUCUUGGGUUGUUGGCCCUUCUUGCUUCCUUGAGACUUUUCAGUUUGCCUCUCUUCAAUCACAUGCACUUUUGAAGUAGAAUCUUUGUUCUCUUCAAGGAUUUGACUAUCCUUCUUUUCUUGCAUGCGAAUUUCCUCUUCUACUCGAAGAGAUUUAGCAAGAAUCUCAAGAGAGAUAUCCUCUUUCUUAUGUUUGAGAUCUCUUUUGAAAUCUUUCCAAGAAGGUGGUAACUUAUCUAUUAUAGAGCAAACAAUAAUGGCUUCAUCCAUGUGUAGAUUGUGUUGUGUGAAGUGAUUAAGAAGCCUUUCAAUCUCACUAAAUUGCUCCAUAACAGACUUAUUAUCUACCAUUUUAUAAUUAUUAAAAGACGAGACAAGAAACUUCUUACUUGUAGCAUCUUCUUGCAUGUACUUGGACUCCAAUCGAUCCCAAAGUUCCUUGGCGGUAGCAAUUGAAUGGUAGACAUCGAACAGGUUGUCACUCAUGGUAUUGAGGAUGUGACCACGGCAUAUUUCAUCGUCGUUCUCCCAUUUCUGACGGUUUCGGAUGUCUUCAAGAGUUUCUUCAUCGGGAUUGAUCAAUGGUUUUGGUGUGGUCAAAACAUAGACCACUUUGAGUGCAGUGAGAAGGAAACGAACACGUUUUUGCCAACGAAUGAAAUUCCCUCCAUCAAACCUCUCGAGCUUGACAAUAUUGGAUGCCAAAUCUUUCAAGGUACCAGCCAUUGUAGAGUAUAAAUAAAGCCUAAAGAUUGUUGGGUAAAAAGCAAAGAAUUGGCAAAUAUUGUGACUAGAAUUGGCUUCAAAUCGUGAUAGAAAUCACUUUCCUUUAGGCUUUAUUUGUCCGAUAUAAAGUGCAAUAACCUUGGACAAAUAUCCUUUAGGAUAAGAUGAAGUUUUGUUUGUCUUAAACUCUUGCACAAAGCAAGACAAACCCUUUGUGAACUAAGGAGUGCUUUUGAGAGAGUAAUGAUAGUAGGAAAGUGAUUUUCUGCAGCAAAUCACUCUCUACUUGACCUCUUUAUAUAGGAAGAUUUGUUUGGAAAACAAAAGACCUCAUUAAACACUUGUAUGAAUAGAUUCAAAGUAUUGUGUAUGAAUAGAUUCAAAGUAUUGUGUACACAUUCAUGCACUUUAAUUCAUGCAUCUCAUGAUCAUUAGAUCAAAACAUGAAUCUAUCCUUUCAUUCAAUAAUUCACAUAUACAUGAAUACAUUCAUAAAUGAAUGUACAUUUUAGAAUCAUUCACAAUACUAUACAUGUACCAAAAAUUAAUGAAUAUACAUUAAUUACAUGUAUGUACAUCAUACAAAUUUUGAAAAGUUUCCAACAUAUUUAUGGGCCAUUUCUGAAGUUUUAAAGUGAUCUUUAGGCAAUGGACAUAGAGGGAUCUAAUGCAGUUAGGUUGUGUGUGGUUUGAUCCGAUUAUAGACAGUAUUUUUUUACAUUAUUUAAAAGAUUUCUUCUAUGAAUUAAACUUUUCGCCCCCACAAAAAUGUUCAAAAAACUUUUGUCUUAAACUUCAAAGUUCUCAUGUGCAUGAAAUUGAAAGGUGCCCCUCUUAAAGCAAAAUUUUCAAUUCCAUCUACUGUGUAUAUCAUAUCAUGAUAGACAAAAAUAAGAAAAAGAUAGGGGAAAACAAUAAUCAAAAGAAAGGGAAACAUGACCAAGAUAUAAUAUGUAACAUUCAAGAAACACCAAUAUAGGAUACAAAUUCAAGAAGAACUAAUAUAGAAUACAAAAUAAGGAAAAGGAAAUGAGAAAGUACUAUUAAAGAAGUAAGAAACGAAAAACAAAGAAUCCCAAGAAGAGAAGAGAGGCAGAUAGAAGCAGCAACACUUGCACCAGGAAUCCAACUGACCGGCAUCAAGAGAGGUCCAAGAGACAAAAUACAACAAUCUUAUCGUCUUGGAGAUGUGCUUUCUGCCCUUGCUGGUGCUGGAAAAGAAAGUUUCAGUGUUUGUUAUAGCUUUUAGCAAGUAGCAAAAUCAUCCAAGAAUAAAGAAUUUACAAACAUAAUGCACUCGAGAAUCAGGUUCUUCUGGAGAAAUCAAGCUUUGUAAGGUUCAGUUUCAGAGCACAAAGCAAAAAAUUGCUCAGGGAAUUGCUAAUUAUAUAUGGUAAUUAACAUGGAUCCAUAUGAGGAAAAGCAGCAGCCAAUCCUACCAUACAUGUCAAUUCCUUUACUGUGAACUUCUAGAUUAACUUGUGCACAUCGUCUAAUCAUCUGAAAACAGGAAGAGAUAAAGUUGAUAUGGUUCAUUGACACAUGCACAAAAGAAGAGGUAUGUGCAGAGAAAUAAUAAAGCAAAAUGAAGCUCUCACAUAUAUGAAUCUCAAGGUUGGCACAUCUUUGCUUUGAAAUAGUCUGUCAUGGAUUUAUUCAAUAUUAUAUCUUAUUAUAUGGCUUUACUUCUUUCUAGAGCAGGGUGCAGGGACAUGUAAUGAACCAGUAUGUGGUAUAUCAUAAUGGAAAAUACAGCAUUAGAUGUGAUACUAAGUUCGUGAUGAAGGGGUGGAUAGUAUUCAUAUAUGCGGUUUAAUGUAUUAUCUAUACAUUAGUUGUAAAUUCUACCUUUAGUCUUAUUAAAAGCAAUCUAUAACAGAGUGGAGAGUAAGGAAAUCACUUUUAGAAGAGCUUGGAGUAGCCAUGGAUAUCGUCAGAAGACUUUCAAUAAUUCAGCAAGAAAUACAAAAGGGAGACUUAUAUCUAGGAAACUUUCAUAUAACGUAGGCACAAAAACAGCAUUGAACUGAAACUUACGUGCAUGUAGUUGCUGUAUUAAGCAAAGUAAGAUGAGGCGAUGCAUUGCACAUGUUCAUGGCAGCAGCUGAAAUUCUGGAAUAUGAGCAAUCUUGUCCCAUUCUUGGCCGAUCUCUUCCUUGCAUCUGUCCUUGAGAAGUGGACAAUGUUCAAUUGUCAAUUUCCUUAAUUUGGUGAGGCGACGCAUUGCCUCAGCAGAAGGCAAAUGCAACAGAUUUUUGCAGUCUUCAAUGUCCAGUUCUUCGAGUGAAUGGAUGCUACCCAAGAACUCUGGCAGAGCCACAAUCCCGUCAAAAUUAUGUAUCGUUAAAAAGGCCAAGUUGGAGAGAUGCUGAAUCUGCUCCGGCAAAGAUGUGACUGCUUGCCAACCAUAUAAUCCAAGAGACUGCAACGAGGCAAAAGGAUGUUGGAAUUCUUUGUUCUCAUUAUCGGUAAUAGUAACUCUGC
rnacentral:lncRNA from 1 species